GGGUGGUCUUCUUUCUUGCUCCAAUAUAAUAAUAAGCCAUGGAUACAGAAGUAGCGAAUAUCACUGCAAUUAUGGAUGUCAAGGUUCCCCUCCACUCAUCGAUACGCCCACCUGUGUCAUCCCAGACUUCGAUCCUAACCACCCCAGUAUAGUGCAGUUUCGUGAGAGGGUGACAGAGCCCAAGGAGCUAGUUUGUUCAACAAAAGAUCCCUUGACUGAGGUUUCAGGGACAAAUCUCCUCUUCUACGAAGAGAGGCUGCCUUUGUAUGGGUCAUCAAAAGCGACCGUGAGCUGCUAUUAUCAGGCCAUUCAGAGGGUGGAACAAAAGCCCGAUAGAUAUGACAUAAACUGCGACAAUAAAUAUGUCUUGAAAGAGGCUGUUCCCAUCACCACGGCCAAGACGCUCAUUCACGAUGACGCAAUAGUCGUAACGUGUGACGACACUAAGUCCUGGUGGUCGGUCUACAAAG